rnacentral:rRNA from 1 species
AACGAACGCUGGCGGCGUGCCUAAUACAUGCAAGUCGUAUGAGAAAGGGGCUUCGGCCCUGAGUAAAGCGGCGGACGGGUGAGUAACACGUAGGUAAUCUUCCUUCGAGCGGGGGACAACGGUCCGAAAGGACCGCUAAUACCGCGUACGUUCCCGAGGACCCUGGUCCUUGGGAGGAAAGCUAGGCCGCAAGAUCCGGAACUCGGAGAGGACCGUGCGUCGCAUCAGCUAGUUGGUGGGGUAAUGGCCUACCAAGGCGAAGACGCGUAGCUGGUCUGAGAGGAUGAUCAGCCACACUGGGACUGAGACACGGCCCAGACUCCUACGGGAGGCAGCAGUGGGGAAUAUUGGACAAUGGGCGCAAGCCUGAUCCAGCCACGCCGCGUGAGUGAUGAAGGCCUUCGGGUCGUAAAGCUCUGUGGGGAGGGACGAACCGCUGCACGUGCAUAGCGUGCAGCAUGACGGUACCUCCUUAGCAAGCACCGGCUAACUUCGUGCCAGCAGCCGCCGUAA